rnacentral:rRNA from 1 species
ACUCCUACGGGAGGCAGCAGUGGGGAAUUUUGGACAAUGGGCGCAAGCCUGAUCCAGCAAUGCCGCGUGCAGGAUGAAGGCCUUCGGGUUGUAAACUGCUUUUGUACGGAACGAAACGGUCUGCCCUAAUACGGUGGGCUAAUGACGGUACCGUAAGAAUAAGCACCGGCUAACUACGUGCCAGCAGCCGCGGUAAUACGGAGGGUGCAAGCGU